rnacentral:lncRNA from 1 species
AUGACUCUCCUAGAUGCACAAAUCUAUGGCUUCAGUGGCUGCACCUUUUGUCCCCUUCAGGGUCUAAAUGUUCAUUUCUCUCUACUGCAGGGAAGGACAUUACUGGCAAGAAUAAUUCUUCACACUUUUGACCAAACCAGCUACAUUUCCCCAAACCAGGCUUUCACCCCACGCAAAUACUACUCAACUGCCCUCCAGCAAAUGAUCUUACUCCUUAAAGCUUCAAGGCAAAAACUGCCCGCUGAGCAGAAACACCCAAUGGGUUCAAUGUGGUGCAAGUCCCCACAGACCAGCUCUGUAAGCUUUGGAUUAUUAUUUUGAAAGGAAGGUGACUGCACAUAAACCCAGCUCUGCAAAGCACUGGGAACAGGACAGGCUCUCAUUUCAGGAGAUGUAUGGCUAAAAUGUGGCUGCCACAGGAAGGAUCUGGGAAGCCAUCAUACAUGCAAAAACUUCUCUUCCAGUAAGUGUUACGAAUUUCUUCACAGAUCCUCCAAACUGGUGUUUUCAAUUGAGAUAAAUAAAAG